GUAUAAGUUUUUAUAGUCAAGCCAAAGCUUAGACUGCGACAUUCAUUUCAUAUGACGGGAGUGUAUAUAAAAGACAUAGGCAGGGAAAUCCCUGGCCUACGAAGAGUGCACAGAUGGGGUAGAUGAAUGAAAGAGAAAGAAAGCGAUGUGCACGGUGUCCCGAAAGACCAGCAGCAACCGCUCCCUUCCUCGGUAUUUCAUUAAUGAUCCUUCCGCAGGUUCACCUACGGAAA
rnacentral:misc_RNA from 1 species